rfam:Loxodonta africana unplaced genomic scaffold scaffold_46, whole genome shotgun sequence.
GGUGGUGGAGUGGUUAAGUGCUUGGCUGCUAACCAAAAAGUCGGUGGUUCAAACCCACCAACCACUU